rnacentral:rRNA from 1 species
CCUACGGGCGGCUGCAGUGGGGAAUAUUGGACAAUGGGGGGAACCCUGAUCCAGCCAUGCCGCGUGUGUGAAGAAGGCCCUCGGGUUGUAAAGCACUUUCAGUGAGGAAGAACGCCUGGUGGUUAAUACCCAUCAGGAAAGACAUCACUCACAGAAGAAGCACCGGCUAACUCCGUGCCAGCAGCCGCGGUAAUACGGAGGGUGCGAGCGUUAAUCGGAAUUACUGGGCGUAAAGCGCGCGUAGGUGGCUUGAUAAGCCGGUUGUGAAAGCCCCGGGCUCAACCUGGGAACGGCAUCCGGAACUGUCAAGCUAGAGUGCUGGAGAGGAAGGUAGAAUUCCCGGUGUAGCGGUGAAAUGCGUAGAGAUCGGGAGGAAUACCAGUGGCGAAGGCGGCCUUCUGGACUGACACUGACACUGAGGUGCGAAAGCGUGGGUAGCAAACAGGAUUAGAUACCCUGGUAGUC